rnacentral:tRNA from 1 species
UCCUUGGUGGCUUAGAUGGUAAAGUGUCUGCCUACAAUGCGGGAGACCCAGGUUUGAUCCCUGGGUCGGGAA